rnacentral:lncRNA from 1 species
GCGUGUAGCUGGCUGUGCUUCUGGUGGUUCGCGCUUUCUUCGGUGGAACCAUCCAGCGUUUGUAUCCGGCGAUGAAACAUUGAUGGCGUUACGAGCUCUUUCUCGAGCCGUUCUGUUCGUCUUCGGUGGUGAUUGCCGGCUAAAGUAUCGCAAGAUUGGUUGGUCGUUUGGUUUCCUCGGGGAGUGCUCGAGGUGUGUGAAGGUUUCGUCAUGGUGGUGGGGGCCUGAGCUUGGAUGAGAUCUCGACUCCGGUCGAUUGAUUCUCUCCGACGCGUUCAUUUGAGAAACUGAAUCCAGUUCCAAUACUGUCGUUGGAGGUGGUUUCGGUGGAUCUGGUCAAGGUCUCGGUUGUAUCUGGUGGUGUGGUUCUGAUUCCGGUGUGUUCCGGUGAACCUCGUGGUCGUAUUUCGUCCUCGCCGGUAGUUUCUUCGCGGUCGGGCCGCGAUCGGUGGAGGUGUGUUAUCGUGACGCGUGUAUCCCUUGUUGUUGAGGUGAUGACACGUGGUCUUCUUUUCGUCUCGCGUAGGUGGGCUGUAGGCCUUGUGUUUUUUCGUUUUCUUUGGCCCGUUUGUUUUUGGGCUUAUAGAGAUUGGGUCUUUGUAUGGUAUUUUAUGGCUUUUGCCUGUUUAAUAAAAUACAGAUGGAAAAAAAAAAAAAAUGUUCAACGAAUACCGUGAAAUAGAUUAAAAAUAAAACCACGCGCAAGUAUACCUCAGAAGCGGAGAUAAACCUCGACGAGACGAUAGAAAUAUCGAGAUAUUAUUUUCGAGCUGGCGAGAUAUAAGCUCGUCAGAUGCGGGUAGUAAGUGGGUCCUGUCUUCACGUGGGUUCCAUCCAAUCUAAAUGAUACCACGUGUAGUGAGACUGGUCUCUGUUUACACGUGUAUCGAGCGCAGAGACUAAUGCUUUGUCUCUCACUUUGCC